rnacentral:rRNA from 1 species
AAAUUUUAGAGUUUGAUCCUAGCUCAGGACGAACGCUGGCGGCGUGGAUGAGGCAUGCAAGUCAAACGGUCCCGCGAAGCUCGCAAGAGCGGCGUGGGACAGUGGCAGACGAGGUAGUAACACGUAGGAACGUACCCAGAAGUCUCGCAUAGCUCGCCGAAAGGCGGGGUA